rnacentral:rRNA from 1 species
UACGGAGGGUGCAAACGUUUAUCCGGAUUCACUGGGUUUAAAGGGUGCGUAGGUGGGCAGGUAAGUCAGUGGUGAAAUCUCCGGGCUUAACUCGGAAACUGCCAUUGAUACUAUCUUUCUUGAAUACCGUGGAGGUCAGCGGAAUAUGUCAUGUAGCGGUGAAAUGCUUAGAUAUGACAUAGAACACCAAUUGCGAAGGCAGCUGGCUACACGAAUAUUGACACUGAUGCACGAAAGCGUGGGGAUCAAACAGG